UGCUUCCGGGUUGCAUGUUUGGCGGGGAAUAGUUGUCACAUGCCUGGUGAUGGCGUUUUAUUUAUUUAUUUGCUUUACCUGCUGUUAUGGCGCAAGAGAACGACUUUGUUUGAAAGCGAGACACACGCAUUGUGUUGCGUUGUGCGGCUAAAUGUGUGCAACGUGUGCACAAAUGUGCCGUUUGGGCUGCGGUUUGCUUUCAUUUCCGGUGUCAGGGCUCGCGGGAAUUCGAGGCAGGUGUGCACAAAAUGGCGUCAAUUAGUUGCACACAUGUGCUCUAAAUUGCCACAAGCAGCAAGAUGGCGAGUGUCCGGUCUGCGUUUUCUCAGUUAAGUGAGCACGCUCGUUUGGUUUGAAAAGGUUUGUUAGUUGUUUAAAUGACCGGGUUGAAAAAUGUUUGUUGUUUGUAUGCGUUUUCUAGAGUGGUUUUGUGCUUGUUGCGGAAUUGAGGUAUAAGCUUGGUUUAGCGCACAAGGUCACAAUUCACUUUGGUUUAUUUAUGACAUUUCAUUUGUUUGUUCUCUUUUUUUUUUUAUGCUGGCCAGCUCUUUUGCAUUUUUUUUCUUUUCUUUAAACUCUUGUAAAAGACACACCUGAUGACUUUGUGAUUCUGAAUUUAACUGUAUGUUGUUUUUUUUUCAAAACUGUGUGUAGGGAUUUUGUUGCAUUUUUGUCAUUUUUUUCCUCGUGUAAUGUAAUACUUUUUGUUUAUCUGGCUUUUUGUAUUUUUUUUAUUUUUGGUACUUAAGUUCUGGCUGGGUUAAAAUGCUUUUUUUUUUUUCUUCAACCUCAAAUCUGUGGUAUUGUAACAUUGCAUUUUUUUUUUGUUUCAAUCCUAUUAAUGCGAAGUGUUUUAAUGUACAAUUGCAUUUUCCCAUAAUUCAUUUUGUUUGAGUAGUGUAUUCAACCAUUUCCCUUUUUUUUUGGUGGGGGGGGGUUCUUUUAUUAUAAGUGGGUCUUGUGAAGUUUGUCAAUGUAUUUUUUUCAAAUCAAUUGUAGCAAUGUACUUUUUAUUUUCAAUCUUAUUGUUCAUGUGGCAUGUUGAAUAAUGUCCAAUGUAUUUUCUUUAACAAACCUGCUGUCAAUAUAUAGUGUAUUGAAUGUUUGCACUAUUUUUUAUUUUUUUGUAGGUAAUUUUUGAUUGGUCUUGUGAGGUUUUGCUUUCUGGGUCAUUCAUUCAUAUAUAUUUUCUUGCUAUUUAUCUUGGUGUUGCAGGGCGAAGGUAAAGCUGAUGAGGGUAAUAUGAACAAACAUGCUCAAAUUAUAGUUGGCAGUUACGCAACUAAUGGUGCAUGCGAUUGGACGAGUGACAGGAACAAUUUCACAUCAAUUCAGGAAUGAACUGGUCUGUGCAUAACCUGUCUGUGGGGAGCAUGUGAAUAGGAGGGGGCAGGGUAUUGAGCUUUGUGGUUUGCCUUCGUUGACCAUAGCUGUGGAAGUCCUGAGUUUUUGAGGUAUACCUUGGUGUUAUGUUAGGUCUGAUUGUAAGGAGGUAGUACAUGGAAAGGGUUAAGGGUUAGUGCAGUCAAUUGUUGUUUGGAGGAUCUUGUUUGAGAUGGUCUGCUACUGUAGUUGUUUGCUAGUCUGGGUCUCGAGCAUCUUGUGAAGGGUUUGAGGGAGGAGUAUAUAUUGACACAAAGACAACACAAAAUUAUGUUUAAGGGUGGAGGUGACUGCAGAUUGGAUGAGGCACAAAGAGGGAACUAGACCGGGGUAAUGAGUACAUGCACAUAUCAAGAUGCGACUUGUAUGCCACUAAUUUUUUUUAUUUUAUUUUUUUCCUCCCCCAAGGUGUACAAUGUGUCAAACUGGACAAAAGGCCAGGGUGAAGGAGACAGUGGAUCAGGCGAGCCGCACUAAGAGGAACUGGACCAGGUGGGGGCUCUUUUCCACCAUGGACGAGUUGGCUGGCACAAAAACCCAUGACGGCGGUGGAAUGGGAGGUGCCAAGCGCCACCGGAUGAAGGUGUGGAGAUGAGCUGGCUGAAGUCUGAACAAGGGUAACCAACAAAGUAGACCUCAAUAAAGCAAGUGACUGACAAGUACUGUAGGCUAUGAAUGAAAGGAAAGGCUUGGCAAAGGUAACAAAAAUACACUCUUGCACGAUUUUAAUUGUUUUAAUUUUGCAGUGCUCAGGAGCUGGAUGGGAUGAGGGAAAGGACCGAUUCCAUGUCAAAUGAGUUGUCUGUCAGCGAGGCGUGCGUCGAUGGUGAACAGCUUUGUGGUUUGUUGGGCAGAUGUCGGCCCAGUCGAGUGUUGUUGGCAGGGUCGUGCUUGAGAUGGUCUGUAGUUGUUUGGCUUGUCGUAGUUAACGAUGGCACUUUGAAAGCUGGAGCGGGCGUUGCAGGCAUGGCGUGUGUCAAUGGUGAACAGGACAGGGUGGAGUACUGAGCUUUGUGGUUUUGUCUUGGUUGACGGGAGGUGGUAGUUAGUGUGAUGGGUGGGGGGGGACUAUUCUUCUUUCUGUCUGUUAUUGCCACUUGCUGGCCAAGGCGGAGCAACACAAUGAAUUGGAGGAUGCACAAACUGUUUAGUUCUCGACAUUCUAUUUAUUUUUGUUCAUUACUCAAUGUUUUUCUAAUGUAUGAUAUUCUAAAGUGCUAUAUUUCCUUAUUAAAUUUGAGAUACAAGUGGAGCUGCGGUGCGGCCGACCCAACCUGGAGCUGAACACGCUCGAGACUUUAGAGAUGAUCGUGGACUUCAGGAGGAUUGUUGUACCCACCCACCCACCCACCCUUGAGGACUUGCAAGCUGCCAGAACGAAGACAAGUGCGUGCAAAAUCCUCUCGGACCCUCCUCAUCCCGGUCACCGGCUCUUCCGGCUCCUUCCCUCGGGUAGGCGCUACCAAUCAAUGCAAACUAGAACUAGCAGACAUUCCAACAGCUUCUUUGCUCUUGCAAUAAACUUCUCAAACACCUAACCUACAAUUCCAUUGCAACAUGCUGGCAAUUUUUUUGUCGUGAGUUUGUUGUCACAGUUCUGUCGGGCCAAUUCUAUAUUACUCGUGCAGUCACUGUCGUAGCCUCGUGUCGCUGCACUAUUUGCAUAUCUGUUGUUGACCGAUACUGGCCACUCAUGCCAGAGGAGCAUCUCCCCCAUUUGCACACAGACUGAGGAGUAUCUGCAACAUUUGCACAAUCAACAUUGUCCCAGACUAUGGUACUACUCGCUUGAAGUCUCUGCGCCCUUUGCACAAUGGUUAUUGCACCGGACUAUUGCAAUAUUAGUCAUUCGAACUGCUGUAAGUGCUCGAGGACUCUGCAUAUUUUUGCACAAUUGUAAAAAAAAAAUAAAAAUAAUAAUAAUAAUAAUGUACCGGCAUUACCAGAUAACUAGUAACCCUUAUUUACUCAGUGACUGUUUUUUGUCAAUGUCUUUGUCUCCAAAGUGUUCUGUCUGUUGUCAUACUAGAGCAGCUUUAAUUCCCGGAGACAAAUUCCUUGUGUUUUGGACAUACUUGGCAAAUAAAGAUGAUUCUGGUUAUGGAAUAAAUUACUCAUCUAGAGCACCACUGUAUGAUGCAUCAUGAAUUUUAUAUUGUGACCAAAAAAAUAAAUAAAAAAUUCUACGUUAAUGUAGUCUUUUAAAUUUAAAAAAAGCACAAGUAUUUGCCAUUUGGUGUCUUUACCUGAAUAAAUACAAGUAUAAUAUCUAACAGAUGGUAAAAGUUUUUUGAGACACAAGGACUUGUGAGCGCAAACCUGAGAUACGAGUGCUGUCUGGUGACGCGCGUCUCAACUCCCUUUGCAACAAGCAGCCUUUUGACAUAAUUAGCAAAUAUUUUAAAAAAAAAAGGGCGGGGGGGGGGGGCUUCAAGCUGCGUUUUCUAACACAAGCAAGCAGAUGUUUGGACAUGUUUGUAACAGUGGCAAUGUGCUUGUUGCAGGCUUUUGACUGGCAGAGGCGCAUCAGCGCGGAAGGAAAGGUUUGUGCAUGGGUUUGCUUGAGCACAGCACGUUCACACUUCACUUUGGGCUUAGCACGUUUUAGUUCUUUUGUUUCUCUUUUCAUUUUUGUAUGCUGGCCAGCUCCUUCGUGUAUUUCUUUUUUUGAAUUGUUUUAAAUGACGUGUGAUGGUUUUGUCACUGACUAAAUGUUUGGUUGUUUUAAGUGUUCAUGUGCCGUGAUUCUUCGAUUGCAUUUUCUUUACGGUGGGACAUUGUACUUUUGUUUUUUGUCUUUUCAUGAAUUUUCUGGAUGGUCUGAAACUUGACUGUAAAAUACAAACACUUUUUCAUGUAUUGUUUUGUAAUACAUUGGAUUAUUUAUUUUUUUCUUCUCCCCCCAAGGUUAAUGUGGUGUGUUUUAUGUUGUGAUUUGUUUGACAAGCUACCUGUUAAAUGAGAUGUUUUUAUUUGAAUGUACUUUUUUUAUUUUUUUUUUUUUAUUAUUUGUCUUUUUGUAGUUCUAUGGGGUUUUAUGAAGUUUGCUGGCAGGGUCAUGUAAUUAAUGGCAAGGGGGAAGAAGCUGUUAGAAUGUCUGCUUGUUGUAGUUUGCAUUGUUCAGUAGCGCCUACCUGAGGGAAGGAGCUGGAAGAGAAGGUGCCCAGGAUGUGGAGGCUCCAAGAAGAUUUUGCAUACUCUUAGUUCUGUCUGCAUGCAAGUCCUCAAGGGUGGUAUCUUUUCAGCAGUUUUGGUUGUCUGUUGCAUUCUGAGGUUCUUUUUUUCUGGCAGAACACAGGACUGAUUCGAUGACUGCAGUGUAGAACGGCCUCAACGGUUCCUGUGGCGGGCCGUGCUUCCGCAGAAGCCGCAGGAAGUACAUCCUCUGCUGGGCCUUUUUGAGGCUGGAGAUGUUGAUCUCCCCCUUCAGGUCCUGAGAGACUAAUUCCCAGGAAGUUGAAGGUCUCGACAGUUGGGCAGCUGUGGCGAAGGAUGCCUCCUGAAGUCCACGAUCAUCUCUACAGUCUUGAGCGUGUUCAGCUUCAGGUUGUAGGCUGCAUCACUGCUCCAGCCGCUUCAUGUCGUCGAUAUGCAGACUCGUCACCGUCUUUGAGGGCGCUGGAGCGUAGAGUCGCAAGGUGGAUCGACGGGAACGCCAAUGUGCAUCCCCUUGUGGAGCUUCACUUGGAUGCCGGCGCCCUUCCCCCUUCGUUGCCUCCGUGCACCAUGGCUGCCCUCCCGCAAUCCAGAACAAAGGUAGAAAUGCCACCGUGCUUCAAGAGCCAAGUACCAACGACACAGGCAGAGUAUGUCUUGAUUCCACUUACCUACGAACUCACUGGGUAUGUAACUGCACACACAAAAAAUCAGUGACCUGCUCUAGAGUAAUGGUGUGCAUUUAUUUACUUGUUUUGUAGAGUGGAAGAAAAAGAACAAUUCUGCAUCAAAUGACAAAAGUGGUCUGUGUAUAAUCUGUCUGCGUUGUGCAUGUUAAAUGGUGAACAGGAGGGGGCAGAGUACUGAGCUUUGUGGUUUUCCUUGGUUGACUGUAGCAAUGGAAGGGAGUUGUUUGGUGGUAGGUUUGAUUGUAAUGAGGGCAGGCACGGAAAGUGUUGAUGGAGCUGGUUGUUGGACAUGUAGGGUUGGUUAAGUGGUCUUUGUGAAGGAAGGUUAGGGAUGGGCCGCUGGUUGUUUGGCUUGUCUGGUUUGAGAGCAGCGCUGUUUUGAGUUGACGUGUACGGUGCAGGUCGUGAAUGAGGAAGCCAUCAUUUUAAUCAACAGCAAAUGUAAUAUUUUGUAUUGUUUCAGGUUGAAGACCAGAAAAUGGCAGCCCACAAGAUGAACGGCUUCUUUUCCCUUGAGGCGAGUGUACAAUUAAUACACAAUGUCUAUGACAACAUAUGUUCAGCUGUCUUUUUUUCUUUUUUUUGUUUUGAAGCAUUCUCGAACAAAGGUGGAAAUGCUGCCUUGCUGCAAGAGCCAAGCAUCAACCAUACAGGGAGAGUAUAUCUUUGUUCCACUUUGUUUGUAGCAACUAACUCACUGGGGAUGCACCAACUAACACUGACGAUGCUUGUUCAAUUCAAUUGUUCAACAAUGAAGCUUAUUGAUCAGUAAAAUUUCCUUUGAAAUA